CCACUAAAAAUAAAAAUCCCCAGAUGCACCCCCGCACCACCGCUCACUCGCUCACUCCCAACGGCGCGCACGCAUUCCUCCCUCCGCACGCUUCCGCUUCCUUCCUCCACACUCCUUCACUUCCUCUCCCUUCUCCGAUCAGUGCAAGCAUCGCCGCGAAACCUAGAUCAAAGGGUGUCGUGUCAGCCGGCGAAUCGGCGAGAGGCGCGGCGCGUGUAGCUAAGAGUCAGGCAGGCAUGGAGACGCCGCGCCUCGUGCUCGGAGCGGCGUUGCGAGCCCCACCACCAACUUCUCAAUUCCGGCACCGCCGCCUCCCGCGGCCGCGCGUCGCUGCACACUGCCUCCUCUUCGCGCGCGCCCCACGCCCUACGCCUCUCACCCGGUGCUCCUACUCCAGGAAAGGGAAAGGCAAUUCUCAAGGUAAGCCCGGUCGCGAGAGCUCCAGUACCGUCCGGUUGGACGCCGAAGCAAAUAGCGACCAGGGAACAAAUUUGGCUGAUGAGCAACGUAAGGGUGACAUUCGGGAGCUCUUCAGCCAGGCUCAGCGGAAUAUCCUGUACCUGAACAAGCAGAGGCUUGUGGCCAUGGAGGAGCUGAAGAAACUGCAAGAUGAAAAUAAAUUGCUUCUUCAGGACAUAGAAGCACUAGAAACGGAAGCACAAGGUUUUCCUUUAGAAGCAGCACAAUCAUCAAGUUUCUGUGAGUUACUCCUGCGGAUAGAUACGAUGACCAUUUCUGGAAUGAUCAGCACGGAAGUAGCAUCUGAUUUAAGAAAGAAAGUUGUCGAUAAUCGAAGCACUGUACAAAGUGCCUUUUCUGAUAUUCAUCAUAAGCCAAAUACUGAACUGCUGUCAGAAUUGCGACUCUUUCUGCGUAAACCAACAGAGAAACCUCUUCAUGUUGUGCACAUCUGCAUCGAAAUGGAUCCAGUAGCAUCAUGUGGAUCAUUAUCGGCCUAUGUUGCUGGUUUAUCUUGUGCGCUACGAACAAAGGGUAACUUGGUGGAGGUCAUACUGCCCAAGUACACCAGCUUAAAUGUGGACAUAAUUCAUGGUCUGAGGAAAGCUGAGGCAGAGUAUGAAUCUUAUUUUGGCGGCCUUUGGCAUAAAAACAGAAUAUGGACAGGUAUAUCAAGUGGUGUUGGUAUUAUACUUAUCGAACCAGUUCAACACUCCUAUUUCAAUCGUGAUAUGUUAAGUGGCUACCCUGAUGACUUUGAGCGAUUUUCCUAUUUUUCUCGUGCGUCGUUGGAUUAUAUUGUAAAAUCUGGAAAGCAGCCAGACAUUUUACACAUACAUAACUGGGAAACUGCUAUCGUGGCACCACUUUUCUGGGAUAUAUUUGCUCACCAGGGGCUUGGGAACACUCGAAUAUUACUGACAUGCCAAGACUUGAAUUCACAAUGCCUAGAGGAGCCAAAUAAGUUGGAGCUGUGUGGGCUUGAUCCUCAUAACCUUCAUCGUGCUGACCGUCUUCAGGAUCCUAAUAAGACACAUCUUGUUAAUAUUCUAAAGGGAGGAAUUGUUUACUCAAAUAAAGUUGUUUUAAUGUCCUCAAUCCAUUCGAAAGAUGUUCUUAUCCAGGAUUUGAGACAUGGGUUGGAAGCAACAUUAGCUGCACAUCAGGAGAAGAUACUGGUUGCUUCUCAUGGAUUGGAUGGUGAACUUUGGGACCCAUCCAAAGACAUUUAUCUUCCUUGGCGGUAUUCUGCCAAUGAUAUUGAGGGAAAGUCUGUUUGCAGAGGAGCACUUAAGCGGCGCCUUGGGUUCCGCAGUUGCUCAUCCAUUGUAGUAGGAUGUAUCUGUGAUGGUGAUUCAGAUAUUCAUAAUCUCAAUGAAGCAGUUCAUGUUGCUCUGAGCAGAAGUGCUCAGGUCAUCUUCAUGGAAAAGUUAGGGUCUGUUGGGAACUCAGCAUUAAAGGAAGAGUUAAAGUUUGUUCAGUUUAUCAAUCAGGGAGACAAAAUAACAUUCGUUGAGGCAUACGACGAGGCCCUUGCACACUUAAUAUUUGCAGGCUCUGAUAUCAUUCUUUGCUCUUCCUUUCAAGAUCCAUCUCUGCAAAUAGCGAUGAAGGCAAUAAAGUAUGGAUCUGUGCCAGUACAGAUAAACUUUCCCAGUGAUGGAUCAAGUGAGUCAAAACUGCAUGACAACAGCAGAAGCUUACAGUAUGGAUCAAGGCUGUCUGAGGGACAUGGUUGCCGCAACAGAGCAAUGUCUCAGUACAUCAUCUCAACCUACGGAGACUUGUCUCUUUAUCAAGCACUUGAUGGCUUUAAGAAUGAUCCUUCCCGCUGGGAUCAGCGGAUUAAGGAUGGGAUCGCUAAGGGCUUAGAAUGGGACGCUGAGUGUUAUGACCUUCAUUGGGAGGCCUAUUCCUUUAUAAGGCAGCUGUGAAUUGGGCAUCUGUUAGCGAAGCCCAUGACACACCAGAUCCCCAAAUAAAAAGAUCAAGGACGUCUUGCUGUCUGAACUUGUAAGGAAGGUUCUGUUGUUCCAUGCCAAGCAAGUUCUGCCUCUCUUCAGCAUUGCCACCAGCUUGAACCCACGGGUGCUGCUGGUAUCUCCUUAGCAUCUCCAGCCUCUCGGCAGCCUCCUUCAUUGUUGGCCGUUCCUCCCCGCUCAUGCUGAGGCAUCGCACCACGAGGCCCGUCCAAGUACAGUGCCUUCUUCCUAGUCAGAAGCUCCAGGAGGACGACACCAAAGCUAUACACGUCGCUCUUAUCGGUUAGCUGGCAUGUCAUAAGGUAUUCAGGGUCCAGUGAGCUUGUCGUCGAGUAGAAUGUUCGCCGUCUUGACGUCUCCAUGGAGGAUUGGCGGCGAAGCUGAGGAGUGCAUGUACGCGAGAGCCUCCGCGGACUCCACCGCUAUCCGAAGACGGGUGUCAAAGGUUAUGUCAGCCUUGAGGUCCUUAUCGUGGAUGUAGUGGUAGAGAGUGCCGUUUGAGACGAACUCAUAGACCAGCAUGGGAACUUCCACUUCAAGGCAGCAGCCAAGCAGCUUCACGA